AUAUCACUUGGCCUCACAUUCAGGUUGUAUGACUCCUGCCCACACCCUACCCACAUGAGCCAUUUGUGCCAUAAUGGCCAGCACCCAGAUUUCACUGUGACAUAUCUCUGGCCCCAUCACCUAUAUGAUUUGACAGUCUUCUUUGUUCUGGGACCUCUCCACAGUGGGCAUUGUGAUAUAUCACUUGGCCUAGCAGAGAGCAUUGUGACAUACCCCUGAGCCAAGCACACAGAUGAUGUUAUUCUGCUGCCUGUGCCCUGCUUUCAGGAGUGGAUUGCAAUGUAACACUGGCUGAUUACCCAGGUUCUGCCCACAGGGAAGAUUGUGGUGAAUUACUGAACCCGAUACCUAGAUGAAGGAGAGACUGUAACAUACCUCUUGGCCCAGCACCUAGUUGAUGUAACUCCGCUCUCCUGCCUGGGCCACACCUACAGAAGAAAGAGUGACUUCUCACUGGGCCAGCACACAGGUCAUGUUAUUUUACUGCCUUGAUCCUUGUCCACAAUAAUCAUUGUACAUAGUUUUGGGCUCUUCUACUAGAAGACGUGAGUCUCCUCUUCUUCCUGGGAUCUGUCCACAGAGGGGAUUGUGACAUAUCAUUUGACCCAGCACCUAUAUGAUGUGACCCUCAUCAGAUGCCUUGGCCCUUCUCACUGGGCUGAUUGUGACAUAUAACUGGGCACAGCUUCUAGGUUAUGUGACUCUUCUCUUCCUCCUGGGUCCUACCCACAGGAGGCAUUGUGACAUAUCUCUAAGCACUUAAACUAGGAAAUAUGACACUUUUUUCUGGGCUCUCCCCUAAGAGAGUACUGUGACGUAUUUCUGGACCCAGCACCUAGGUGAUGUUACACUUCUCUCCUACCUGUUACCUGUUACUGGCAGCAAAUCCACAUGGGCAUGGAUCUGCAGCAACCUUAAUUCUUACCUCCUAAGAAGAAAAAACUCAACUUAGAGGCAUAACGCAGAAGGAGAGACUGAGGAAAGUUUUAGAACAGGAGUGACAACUGUAGAACAGAAACAAAAUGAAGGAAAGUACACUUGGAAGAGGGCCAAGUGGGUGACUAAAAAGGGAAGUGCACGGUGUGACAUUUGACCUGGGGUUUUCUAUGUUGGCAUACUUCUGGGGUCUCGCAUUAAUUCUCCCCAUUGCCUAACUCCUGAGAUCUUAUUGGGAAGUUGCUGAUUACCAGUUUUAGGUAAUCCACUAAUUGCCUGCUUGAGAGGAGAAGAGAUGCUGAAGUUAACAGUGGGUCCCUGUUCAUCCUUGGGGUUCUGGAAUGAAUCAGUCUCACCAUGUACCCCUAACUUUUCAUGCCCUCAUCAAGAAGCAAUGUUUAUUUGAAUCAGCUCCACACGUUUUGAGAACUGUAACAUAUCACUGGGCCAAACACCUAGAAGAUGGGAAGUGUCUGCCUAUGCCCUGCAAACAGGGCUUUAGCCCUACCACUCUCAAGAGCCUCGUGACAUAUCUCUGCAUUCAUCAUCUAGGAGAUGUGACUCCUCCCUGCUGCCUGCACUCUGCCUACAGGGAAGACCAUAACAACAUUUGGCCCAGCAACACGGUGAUGUGUUUUUUCCCAGGGCCUUGCUCACAGGGAGCAUUGUGACAUAUCACUGGAACCAGCAUCCAGGGCUGUGACUCUGUGUCUUGCUGUUAGAACAGGAUUGUAACCUAUCACUGGCCAAGCACCCAGGUGAUGUGACUUUUCUGCCUGGUGCCUGCCUUCAGGGAAAAUUGUGACAUAUGCCUGGCCUAACACCAAAGUGAUGUGGCUCUCCUGCUACCUCUAUGCACAGAUGGGUUGGUGAUGCUCAGACAAAUAUUCAGCACACCUGCGAGUCUGCGACUCCAGUAAUCAUCCACGGUCUGCAGGAGAAAUUGAGGCUCUCACAAACAAAUCAAGUGCACAAUUGAGAUUGCGACUCUUGUACUCAGAUCCAACAUACAGAAUGUGUUGACUCUCAAUUUUAAAA